rnacentral:rRNA from 1 species
GCUCCCUUCGGGGAGUGCAUAAAGUGGCGCACGGGUGAGUAACACGUAAGUAAUCUACCCUCGGGUGGGGAAUAACAUCGGGAAACCGAUGCUAAUACCGCAUAAUGCAGCGGCACCGCAAGGUGACAGUUGUUAAAGAUUUAUUGCCUGGGGAGGAGCUUGCGGCAGAUUAGCUUGUUGGUAAGGUAACGGCUUACCAAGGCUACGAUCUGUAUCCGGUCUAAGAGGACGGUCGGACACACUGACACUGAAUAACGGGUCAGACUCCUACGGGAGGCAGCAGUCGGGAAUUUUGGGCAAUGGGGGAAACCCUGACCCAGCAACGCCGCGUGAAGGAUGAAGUAUUUCGGUAUGUAAACUUCGAAAGAAUAGGAAGAAUUAAUGACGGUACUAUUUAUAAGGUCCGGCUAACUACGUGCCAGCAGCCGCGGUAAUACGUAGGGACCAAGCGUUGUUCGGAUUUACUGGGCGUAAAGGGCGCGUAGGCGGCGCGGUAAGUCACUUGUGAAAUCUCUGAGCUUAACUCAGAACGGCCAAGUGAUACUGCAGUGCUAGAGUGUGGAAGGGGCAAUCGGAAUUCUUGGUGUAGCGGUGAAAUGCGUAGAUAUCAAGAGGAACACCUGAGGUGAAGACGGGUUGCUGGGCCAACACUGACGCUGAGGCGCGAAAGCCAGGGGAGCAAACGGGAUUAGAUACCCCGGUAGUCCUGGCCCUAAACGAUGAAUACUUGGUGUCUGGAGUUUUAAUGCUCCGGGUGCCGUCGCUAACGUUUUUAGUAUUCCGCCUGGGGAGUACGCUCGC